rnacentral:rRNA from 1 species
GACGAACGCUGGCGGCGUGCCUAAUACAUGCAAGUAGAACGCUGAAGCUUGGUGCUUGCACCGAGCGGAUGAGUUGCGAACGGGUGAGUAACGCGUAGGUAACCUGCCUGGUAGCGGGGGAUAACUAUUGGAAACGAUAGCUAAUACCGCAUAAGAGUAGAUGUUGCAUGACAUUUGCUUAAAAGGUGCAAUUGCAUCACUACCAGAUGGACCUGCGUUGUAUUAGCUAGUUGGUGAGGUAACGGCUCACCAAGGCAACGAUACAUAGCCGACCUGAGAGGGUGAGCAGCCACACUGGGACGGAGACACGGCCCAGACGCCCACGGGAGGGAGCAGUAGGGCAUCUUCGGCAAUGGGCGGAAGACUGACCGCGCAACGCCGCGGGAGGGAAGAAGGUUGUCGGGUCGGAAGGCUCGGUUUUAAGAGAAGAACGCGUGUGAGAGUGGAAAGUUCACACUGUGACGGUAUCUGAACAGAAAGGGACGGCUAACUACGUG